UACGUAGGGGGCAAGCGUUAUCCGGAUUUACUGGGUGUAAAGGGAGCGUAGGCGGCAGGGCAAGCCUGAUGUGAAAGCCCGGGGCUCAACCCCGGGACUGCAUUGGGAACUGCCCUGCUGGAGUGCCGGAGGGGCAGGCGGAAUUCCUAGUGUAGCGGUGAAAUGCGUAGAUAUUAGGAGGAACACCAGUGGCGAAGGCGGCCUGCUGGACGGUGACUGACGCUGAGGCUCGAAAGCGUGGGGAGCAAACAGG
rnacentral:rRNA from 1 species